rnacentral:rRNA from 1 species
GACGGAGGGUGCAAGCGUUGUUCGGAUUGACUGGGCGUAGAGGGCGUGUAGGCGGUUUGUCAAGUCGGAUGUGAAGGCCUGGGGCUCAGCCUCAGAAGUGCAUCCGAAACUAGCGAGCUAGAGCGCGAUAGAGGAGGGUGGAAUUCCUGGUGUAGCGGUGAAAUGCGUAGAGAUCAGGAGGAACACCGGCGGCGAAGGCGGCCCUCUGGAUCGUUGCCGACGCUGAGACGCGAAAGCGUGGGGAGCAAACAGG